GACAGAGGGUGCAAACGUUGCUCGGAUUUACUGGGCGUAAAGCGUGCGUAGUCGGUUAUCUAAGUCGGGUGUGAAAUCCCCGGGCUCAACCUGGGAAUUGCAUUCGAUACUGGAUAGCUAGAGUUCGGCAGAGGGAAGCGGAAUUCCCGGUGUAGUGGUGAAAUGCGUAGAUAUCGGGAGGAACACCAGUGGCGAAGGCGACUUCCUGGACCAGUACCGACGUCAGGCACGAAAGCCGUGGGGAGCAAACAGG
rnacentral:rRNA from 1 species